rnacentral:misc_RNA from 1 species
GCGGUUCAGAGCUUAUGUCAUGGAAGCAUCUAAUAAGGCUAGGGUUAGGGCAAGAAGGAUGGAUGAAUCCUUGCACAAAUUGAACAAGUACUGUGAGUCCCAGGUCCAGAAGAAGCAAAUUCGGAAUGAAAUCUUAACAAAUGAAAGGCCUGCUGGACCUAACAUGUUGAAGAAGGGAAGUCAGGUUCAUCGAAAUUCAGAUGUUGUGAAUCAGAGACUUGAAG